GCCGGAGUGGCGGAACAGGCAGACGCGCUGGACUCAAAAUCCAGUGGGCCUCACAGCCCGUGAAGGUUCGAUUCCUUUCUCCGGCA
rnacentral:tRNA from 1 species